UACGUAGGUGGCGAGCGUUAUCCGGAAUUAUUGGGCGUAAAGAGCGCGCAGGUGGUUGAUUAAGUCUGAUGUGAAAGCCCACGGCUUAACCGUGGAGGGUCAUUGGAAACUGGUCGACUUGAGUGCAGAAGAGGGAAGUGGAAUUCCAUGUGUAGCGGUGAAAUGCGUAGAGAUAUGGAGGAACACCAGUGGCGAAGGCGGCUACCUGGACCAGCACUGACACUGGAAGCAACGAAAGCGUGGGGAGCAAACAGG
rnacentral:rRNA from 1 species